rnacentral:rRNA from 1 species
CGGGAGGCAGCAGCAGGGAAUAUUGUGCAAUGAACGAAAGUUUGACACAGCGACACCGCGUGUGGGAUGACGGAUCUAGGUUUGUAAACCACUUUCAGGAGGGAAGAAAAUGACGGUACCUCCAUAAGAAGCCCCGGCCAACUACGUGCCAGCAGCCGCGGUAAUACGUAGGGGGCGAGCGUUGUCCGGAUUUAUUGGGCGUAAAGAGCUCGUAGGCGGUUCAACAAGUCGGUCGUGAAAGUUCAGGGCUCAACCCUGAAAUGUCGAUCGAUACUGUUGUGACUAGGAUACGGUAGAGGUGAGUGGAAUUCCGAGUGUAGCGGUGAAAUGCGUAGAUAUUCGGAGGAACACCAAUAGCGAAGGCAGCUCACUGGGCCGCUAUCGACGCUGAGGAGCGAAAGCUAGGGGAGCAAACAGGAUUAGAUACCCUGGUAGUCCUAGCUGUAAACGAUGGAUACUAGACGUAGGAACUGGAUUGACGGUUUCUGUGUCGCAGCUAACGCGUUAAGUAUCCCGCCUGGGGAGUACGGUCGCAAGACUAAAACUCAAAGGAAUUG